rnacentral:rRNA from 1 species
UGCUAUCGAGGUUCGACUAAGGCCAUGCGAGUCGAAUGUAGCAAUACAUGGCGAACUGCUCAGUAACACGUGGACAGCUGCCCUUAGGACGGGGAUAAACCCGGGAAACUGGGUAUAAUACCCGAUAGGUCUCGAUUGCUGGAAUGCAUCGAGAUUUAAAGCUCCGGCGCCUAAGGAUGGGUCUGCGGCCUAUCAGGUAGUAGUGGGUGUAGCGUACAUACUAGCCUACGACGGGUACGGGUUGUGAGAGCAAGAGCCCGGAGAUGGAUUCUGAGACACGAAUCCAGGCCCUACGGGGUGCAGCAGGCGCGAAAACUUUACAAUGCUGGCAACAGCGAUAAGGGAACCUCGAGUGCCAGGUUACAAAUCUGGCUGUCGAGAUGCCUAAAAAGCAUUUCAUAGCAAGGGCCGGGCAAGACCGGUGCCAGCCGCCGCGGUAACACCGGCGGCUCGAGUGGUAACCGUUAUUAUUGGGUCUAAAGGGUCUGUAGCCGGCCGGAUAAGUCUCUUGAGAAAUCUGGCAGCUUAACUGUCAGGCUUUCAGGAGAUACUGUCUGGCUCGAGGCCGGGAGAGGUGAGAGGUACUUCAGGGGUAGGGGUGAAAUCUUGUAAUCCUUGAAGGACCACCAGUGGCGAAGGCGUCUCACCAGAACGGACCUGACGGCAAGGGACGAAAGCUAGGGGCACGAACCGGAUUAGAUACCCGGGUAGUCCUAGCCGUAAACGAUACUCGCUAGGUGUCGGCCACGGUGCGACCGUUGUCGGUGCCGUAGGGAAGCCGUGAAGCGAGCCACCUGGGAAGUACGGCCGCAAGGCUGAAACUUAAAGGAAUUGGCGGGGGAGCACCACAACGGGUGGAGCUUGCAGUUUAAUUGGAUUCAACGCCGGAAAUCUUACCGGGACCGACAGCAAUAUGAAGGCCAGGCUGAAGACUUUGCCGGAUUAGCUGAGAGGUGGUGCAUGGCCGUCGUCAGUUCGUACUGUGAAGCAUUCUGUUAAGUCAGGCAACGAGCGAGACCCAAAGGGCGAUCCA